UUACUGAUAUCCAUAAUAAAGGUUUUACAUAGUUGUUUCUUGAGCCCUGCACUGAAACAAAAUAUUUUGCUCAUCAUACACACUUAAAAGUAAAGUACAAAGUUGAUUGUCCAUAUAAAGACUGCAACUUUCAGAGCAGUGUAUACUCCACUUUAACAAAACUGUUAAAAAAAACCCUGACAUUUAAGAUUAAGCAAUGUCAGAAAAGUUGCAUGUUCCACAUGAACACAGAUCCGAUGCUGAGCACUUCAAGGAAAAUCGCCUUCUUUCGGUGGAUAAGUUUACAAUUGCACUCAUACUUUAUGUGGAUGACUUUGAAGUAGCCAAUCCUUUGGGAACAUUAAAGCAGGAACAUAAAAUGUGUGCAGGGUAUUGAGUCAUCACUAAACUCUAUCUAGCUUGCUUUACUCUGCAAGCUACUCUACAAUCAAACAGAGUAAUUAUGAAAAAGUUUUGCAAUCUCUUAUCCAUGAACUUGGCUCAUUAGAACAACAUGGAAUUUAUGUAGAACAGCUAGGUGAAAGUGUGAAAGGAACAGUCUUGUUUGUAGCAGCUGAUAACCUUGCUGCCCAUCUACUGGCAGGAUUCCAUCAGAGAAACACAGUGAACAAAAUUUGCAGAGUCUGUAUGGAAUCCAGAAGUGAAGUCCGGAUUCAAGAGGUACAUUCUGGCUUCUUCCAACUCAGAGAUAAAACCUGUCAUUGCAAGCAUGUGCAAGAGGUGAUAAAAGAACCAAACCUAAGCCAGCAGUUUACCUGAACUAGGCCAGCAGUUGAGAUGACAAAGGUAGCAAUGGUUUUGGUCACAUCUUUUCCUAGUGAUGUUCAGAGAGUACUCUCUCAAAACCUAACCACUCCUGGGUCAGUACUUGUUGCAUCGUCUGUCUGUAUCGAAGGAAUCAAGUAUAACACAGACAUGAUGCUCUGUGUUGGUUCCUGUUCAGGUCUCCCUGAAUUUGGUCAGAUUGUGCAUAUUGUUGCAGCUAACCCAGACAUUAUGUUUGUAUGCAAAAAAUGACAGCAUGGUACUAAGAGCAUGUUUGGUCCUACCAGCUUUUUACACUGAUGGCCCCUUCUAUAUGUAUGGUUAAGUUGUCUGAUUUAAAGGAUGUCUUCCCACUCUCAGCAUACAAAGUUGAAUGGAAGCUUAUGGUAACUCUCAAGUGAUUUGUUAUUUGCUAAAACUGUCAAUGUUUCUUCCACAGAUGGCUACAGAACCGAAACUGACCAUGAGAGUUAAUGUUUGUGAGGAGGACAUAAGAAAGAUGAUGAUGACACUACUGUGAUGGAGUGUGAAAAGAGUGUGAUCAGACUCUUCAGGACUCCGCUGUGUGUUUGUGUAAACUUUACUAAUAUAUAAAGAUGGUGACUCCUGAUCUGGACACAGAUAAUGUUUCUACACCAUCAAACAACUGUAAACUCCAGAGAAAGAGAUCAGAAUCACCAACACACAGCUGUAUCUCCAUGAAGAGUGGAUUGGUCUAUGGAUCCUCCUCUGAACUUUAAAGAUGGAGACUCAUCACUUCUACACAGGUAACGUCUCCGCACUGUUAAUGUCACUGCUAAAGUCACAAUUAAAGGGAAAUUUAACUAGAUAAACAGGAUGACAAACUAAAUACUAAAACACUGAUUAUGAUCUAUAAUGAAGCCUGUGUCUAAAUUCAGUAAUUAAAUUCUUAAUAUUUAAGUCUAUUUUUUGGGAAAUUAUUAACUUUUUUUCUUGAAAAGUAAGCUUGUGGUAUCUUUUAAAAUAAAUGACACUUAGUUUGAUGUGUUGUUUUUUAAUGCAGUGGAUUUCAUGUUUGUAAGUAUACCUUAAAUGUACAAAUACUUUUUUGGUCCACUGUAUGUUUGGUCAUUGCAGACUAGACCACCACUUAGCAUCAUUUAUUCAGUGACAUUAUACCCAGCCAUAAGAAUCUUCUAGAGUUACACCAGAAUACAAUCAGGAAAUCUACAGAGCCAUUGUGUGAUUACUGUAAGACAUGAACAGGGAUGUUUAAUACACUCAGUGUUACAUUUUAUUUACACAGUCAUUAGCUGCAGUUUUGAUAGUUAUUAUAUUUAUAUUAUACUACAAAGUUUUAGUGAUAAUACAAUACUAUAAUACUGUUUUUUUUUUUCUUAAAUCAUGUACUGGGCAUUAAAGCACAGACUUAAUCCUUUAAUCUACCAAUGUAGUAGAAGCAAUAAUCUAAAAUGUGCAAAAGUAGCACAGGGUUAAGCAAACAAACAAACCAACAACAACAUUAAUAACUCUCUCUCUCACACACUCUCUCAUUUUCUACCGCUUAUCC